CCCCGCAAAGGCUGAGUGUUGACAGGACCGAAAAGAAGUAGGGAAGCGUCCGAGUUCACGCUGGCGAGAAAAGCUGCUAAGGAGAGUGUGAGUGCCCGUACCGGAAACCGACGCAGGUGGGCGAGGAGAGAAUCCUGAGACGGACGGGAGAACUCUUGUUAAGGAACUCGGCAAAAUGACCCCGUAACUUCGGGAGAAGGGGUGCCUCGAAAGAGGCCGCAGAGAAUAGUCACAAGCGACCGUUUAGCAAAAACACAGGUAUCUGCGAAAGCGAGAGCUGACGUAUAGGUGCUGACGCCUGCCCGGUGCUGGGAGGUUAAGGGGAAGUGUUAGGGGAAACCCGAAGCAGAGAACCGAAGCCCCAGUAAACGGCGGCCGUAACAAUAACGGUCCUAAGGUAGCGAAAUUCCUUGUCGGGUAAGUUCCGACCCGCACGAAUGGCGUAACGACUUGUGAGCUGUCUCAACAGGAGGCCCGGUGAAAUUGAAGUAUGUGUGAAGAUGCACAUUGCCCGCGACUGGACGGAAAGACCCCGUAGAGCUUUACUGUAACCUGACAUUGGAUCUUGAUAACGGAUGCACAGGAUAGGUGGGACGCUGGGAGACGAGGACUUUGGUUUUCGUGGAGCGGCCGUUGGGAUACCACUCUUCUGUUAUUGAGAUUCUAACCUCAAGCCGUGAGCCGGAUGAGAGACAGUGUCAGGCGGACAGUUUGACUGGGGCGGUCGCCUCCGAAAGAGUAACGGAGGCGCCCAAAGGUACCCUCAGAAUGGAUGGAAACCAUUCGAAGAGAGCAAAGUCAGAAGGGUGCUUGACUGCGAGACCAACAAGUCGAGCAGGUACGAAAGUAGGGCUUAGUGAUCCGGCGGUAAGAGAGUGGAAUUGCCGUCGCUCAACGGAUAAAAGCUACCUCGGGGAUAACAGGCUGAUCUCCCCCAAGAGUUCACAUCGACGGGGAGGUUUGGCACCUCGAUGUCGGCUCGUCGCAUCCUGGGGCUGAAGCAGGUCCCAAGGGUUUGGCUGUUCGCCAAUUAAAGCGGCACGCGAGCUGGGUUCAGAACGUCGUGAGACAGUUCGGUCCCUAUCCAUCGUGGGCGAAGGACACAUGAGAGGAGCUGCUCCUAGUACGAGAGGACCGGAGUGGACGCAUCACUGGUGCAACUGUUGUCGUGCCAACGGCACAGCAGGGAAGCGAAAUGCGGACGGGAUAAACGCUGAAGGCAUCUAAGCGUGAAGCCCACCUCAAGAAUAAGUGUCCCAUUCGAAAGAAGUAAGACCCCUGGAAGACUACCAGGUGAUAGGUCAUCGGUGAAAGAGUGGUAACAUUUGGAGCUUGAUGAUACUAAUCGGUCGAGGACUUGAGC
rnacentral:rRNA from 1 species